GACGUAGGGUGCGAGCGUUGUCCGGAUUUAUUGGGCGUAAAGAGCUCGUAGGCGGCUUGUUGCGUCGACUGUGAAAACCCGCGGCUUAACCGCGGGCUUGCAGUUGAUACGGGCAGGCUAGAGUUCGGUAGGGGAGACUGGAAUUCCUGGUGUAGCGGUGAAAUGCGCAGAUAUCAGGAGGAACACCGGUGGCGAAGGCGGGUCUCUGGGCCACUACUGACGCUGAGGAGCGAAAGCGUGGGGAGCAAACGGG
rnacentral:rRNA from 1 species